rnacentral:rRNA from 1 species
AUUGAACGCUGGCGGCAUGCUUUACACAUGCAAGUCGGACGGCAGCGCGGGCUUCGGCCUGGCGGCGAGUGGCGAACGGGUGAGUAAUACAUCGGAACGUGCCCGGUAGUGGGGGAUAGCUCGGCGAAAGCCGGAUUAAUACCGCAUACGACCUGAGGGUGAAAGCGGGGGAUCUUCGGACCUCGCGCUAUUGGAGCGGCCGAUGGCAGAUUAGCUAGUUGGUGGGGUAAAGGCCUACCAAGGCGACGAUCUGUAGCUGGUCUGAGAGGACGACCAGCCACACUGGGACUGAGACACGGCCCAGACUCCUACGGGAGGCAGCAGUGGGGAAUUUUGGACAAUGGGCGAAAGCCUGAUCCAGCAAUGCCGCGUGUGUGAUGAAGGCCUUCGGGUUGUAAAGCACUUUUGGCGGGAACGAAAAGGACUGUGCCAAUACCACGGUUCGAUGACGGUACCCGCAGAAUAAGCACCGGCUAACUACGUG